UGAGGGAAUAUUGGGUCAAUGGGGCGAGAGCCUGAACCAGCCAAGUAGCGUGCAGGAUGACGGCCCUACGGGUUGUAAACUGCUUUUAUGAAGGAAUAAUGAGGGUCACGCGUGGCCCGUUGCAUGUACUUCAUGAAUAAGGACCGGCUAAUUCCGUGCCAGCAGCCGCGGUAAUACGGAAGGUCCGGGCGUUAUCCGGAUUUAUUGGGUUUAAAGGGAGCGUAGGCCGCCCCGUAAGCGUGUUGUGAAAAGCCGUGGCUCAACCAUGGUCGUGCAGCGCGAACUGCGGGGCUUGAGUGUGCGGAAAGUGGGCGGAAUUCGUGGUGUAGCGGUGAAAUGCUUAGAUAUCACGAAGAACUCCGAUUGCGAAGGCAGCUCACUGUAGCAUUACUGACGCUGAAGUUCGAAAGUGCGGGUAUCGAACAGGAUUAGAUACCCUGGUAGU
rnacentral:rRNA from 1 species